rnacentral:rRNA from 1 species
CCUACGGGAGGCAGCAGUGAGGAAUAUUGGUCAAUGGACGAGAGUCUGAACCAGCCAAGUAGCGUGAAGGAUGACUGCCCUAUGGGUUGUAAACUUCUUUUAUAUGGGAAUAAAAUGUUCCACGUGUGGGCUUUUGUAUGUACCAUAUGAAUAAGGAUCGGCUAACUCCGUGCCAGCAGCCGCGGUAAUACGGAGGAUCCGAGCGUUAUCCGGAUUUAUUGGGUUUAAAGGGAGCGUCGGUGGAUUGUUAAGUCAGUUGUGAAAGUUUGCGGCUCAACCGUAACAUUGCAGUUGAAACUGGCAGUCUUGAGUACAGUAGAGGUGGGCGGAAUUCGUGGUGUAGCGGUGAAAUGCUUAGAUAUCACGAAGAACUCCGAUUGCGAAGGCAGCUUACUGGCCUGAAACUGACACUGAGGCUCGAAAGUGUGGGUAUCAAACAGGAUUAGAUACCCCAGUAGUC